GACGUAGGGGACGAGCGUUGUCCGGAUUCAUUGGGCGUAAAGGGUGCGUAGGUGGCGGGGUAAGUCAGGUGUGAAAUCUCGGGGCUCAACCCCGAAACUGCACUUGAUACUGCCUUGCUCGAGUACUGGAGAGGAGAUUGGAAUUUACGGUGUAGCAGUGAAAUGCGUAGAUAUCGUAAGGAAGACCAGUGGCGAAGGCGAAUCUCUGGACAGUUACUGACACGGAGGCACGAAGGCCAGGGGAGCAAACGGG
rnacentral:rRNA from 1 species